rnacentral:sRNA from 1 species
AAGGCCUACUCACCUGAGAAGAAGAUCUCCAUCCUGCUCAAGACCUGCAAACUCAUCUACGACUCCAUGGCCCUCGGCAACCCAGCAACCUCACGGAGAUGCUUCUCGAUGUGGAGUACAUGAUGGAGCUCAUGGACCCCGCCCUGCAGCUGGGGGAGGGUUCCUACUAUCUGACCACCACCUACGGGGCCCUGGAGCACAUCAAGAGCUAUGACAAGAUCACGGUGACCCGGCAGCUGAGUGUGGAGGUGCAGGACUCCAUCCACCGCUGGGAGCGCCGGCGUACGCUCAACAAGGCCCGGGCCUCCCGCUCCUCCGUACAGGGACUCCGAGACGCGCCUUAAUUCAUCUCCCAGAACUGUCGGCCCAGCUGGGAAGCCAGGCAGGGAGGGGGACGGGCCCCCCGCAGGCUCGCGGCAGAGACGGGAAAGGCGCAGGUGCCGGACUCACAGACCGCUUGGCGCCCGCCACCCGCUAUCCAUCCAGGGAGGGGCCUGGGCUGGAAGAGGGCGCCUGGGGAGACAGGGCCCCGCCGUGACCACAGGCCCCUCGUGUCUCCGCAGGACUUCAUCUGCGUGUCCUACCUGGAGCCCGAGCAGCAGGCGCGGACACUGGCGUCGCGGGCGGACACCCAGGCCCAGGCGCUGUGCGCGCAGUGCGCGGAGAAGUUCGCGGUGGAGAGGCCGC